rnacentral:rRNA from 1 species
UACGUAGGGUGCGAGCGUUAAUCGGAAUUACUGGGCGUAAAGUGUGCGCAGGUGGCUGAGCAAGUCGAGUGUGAAAUCCCCGGGCUUAACUUGGGAAUUGCGAUGGAGACUGCAAGGCUAGAAUCUGGCAGAGGGGGGUAGAAUUCCACGUGUAGCAGUGAAAUGCGUAGAGAUGUGGAGGAACACCGAUGGCGAAGGCAGCCCCCUGGGUCAAGAUUGACGCUCAUGCACGAAAGCGUGGGGAGCAAACAGG